GAUGAACGCUGGCGGCGUGCCUAAUACAUGCAAGUCGAGCGAACAGACGAGGAGCUUGCUCCUCUGACGUUAGCGGCGGACGGGUGAGUAACACGUGGAUAACCUACCUAUAAGACUGGGAUAACUUCGGGAAACCGGAGCUAAUACCGGAUAAUAUAUUGAACCGCAUGGUUCAAUAGUGAAAUACGGUUUUGCUGUCACUUAUAGAUGGAUCCGCGCCGCAUUAGCUAGUUGGUAAGGUAACGGCUUACCAAGGCAACGAUGCGUAGCCGACCUGAGAGGGUGAUCGGCCACAUGGGAACUGAAACACGGUCCAGACUCCUACGGGAGGCAGCAGUAGGGAAUCUUCCGCAAUGGGCGAAAGCCUGACGGAGCAACGCCGAGUGAGUGAUGAAGGUCUUCGGAUCGUAAAACUCUGUUAUUAGGGAAGAACAAAUGUGUAAGUAACUAUGCACGUCUUGACGGUACCUAAUCAGAAAGCCACGGCUAACUACGUG
rnacentral:rRNA from 1 species